UCCCUGGUAGCUCAGAUGGUAAAGCGUCUGUCUACAAUGCAGGAGACCCAGGUUCGAUCCCUGGGUUGGGAA
rnacentral:tRNA from 1 species